CAAUGGAGAGUUUGAUCCUGGCUCAGGACGAACGCUGGCGGCGUGCUUUAUACAUGCAAGUCAAGGAGAAUCUAUUCUUCGGAAUAGUAGUAAACUGGCGAACGGGUGAGUAAUGCGUAGGUAACCUGCCCUAGAGAUUGGGACAACUUCGGGAAACCGGAGCUAAUACCGAAUGAUGCAAUAGAUCCUUCGGGGUACUAUUGUUAAAGCGGGCUUCGGCUCGCACUUUAGGAUGGGCCUGCGUCCGAUUAGCUUGUUGGUGGGGUA
rnacentral:rRNA from 1 species